ACGAACGCUGGCGGCGUGCUUCACACAUGCAAGUCGAACGGAAAGGCCCUGCUUUUGUGGGGUGCUCGAGUGGCGAACGGGUGAGUAACACGUGAGUAACCUGCCCUUGACUUUGGGAUAACUUCAGGAAACUGGGGCUAAUACCGGAUAGGAGCUCCUGCUGCAUGGUGGGGGUUGGAAAGUUUCGGCGGUUGGGGAUGGACUCGCGGCUUAUCAGCUUGUUGGCGGGGUAGUGGCUUACCAAGGCUUUGACGGGUAGCCGGCCUGAGAGGGUGACCGGCCACAUUGGGACUGAGAUACGGCCCAGACUCCUACGGGAGGCAGCAGUGGGGAAUAUUGCACAAUGGGCGGAAGCCUGAUGCAGCAACGCCGCGUGCGGGAUGACGGCCUUCGGGUUGUAAACCGCUUUCGCCUGUGACGAAGCGUGAGUGACGGUAAUGGGUAAAGAAGCACCGGCUAACUACGUG
rnacentral:rRNA from 1 species